rnacentral:rRNA from 1 species
AAAGGAAGAUUAAUACCCCAUAAUAUUUAGAAUGGCAUCAUUUUAAAUUGAAAACUCCGGUGGAUAGAGAUGGGCACGCGCAAGAUUAGAUAGUUGGUGAGGUAACGGCUCACCAAGUCUACGAUCUUUAGGGGGCCUGAGAGGGUGAUCCCCCACACUGGUACUGAGACACGGACCAGACUCCUACGGGAGGCAGCAGUGAGGAAUAUUGGACAAUGGGUGCGAGCCUGAUCCAGCCAUCCCGCGUGAAGGACGACGGCCCUAUGGGUUGUAAACUUCUUUUGUAUAGGGAUAAACCUAGAUACGUGUAUCUAGCUGAAGGUACUAUACGAAUAAGCACCGGCUAACUCCGUGCCAGCAGCCGCGGUAAUACGGAGGGUGCAAGCGUUAUCCGGAUUUAUUGGGUUUAAAGGGUCCGUAGGCGGAUCUGUAAGUCAGUGGUGAAAUCUCACAGCUUAACUGUGAAACUGCCAUUGAUACUGCAGGUCUUGAGUGUUGUUGAAGUAGCUGGAAUAAGUAGUGUAGCGGUGAAAUGCAUAGAUAUUACUUAGAACACCAAUUGCGAAGGCAGGUUACUAAGCAACAACUGACGCUGAUGGACGAAAGCGUGGGGAGCGAACAGGAUUAGAUACCCUGGUAGUCCACGCCGUAAACGAUGCUAACUCGUUUUUGGUAUUUCGGUAUCAGAGACUAAGCGAAAGUGAUAAGUUAGCCACCUGGGGAGUACGAACGCAAGUUUGAAACUCAAAGGAAUUGACGGGGGCCCGCACAAGCGGUGGAUUAUGUGGUUUAAUUCGAUGAUACGCGAGGAACCUUACCAAGGCUUAAAUGGGAAAUGACAGGUUUAGAAAUAGACUUUUCUUCGGACAUUUUUCAAGGUGCUGCAUGGUUGUCGUCAGCUCGUGCCGUGAGGUGUUAGGUUAAGUCCUGCAACGAGCGCAACCCCUGUCACUAGUUGCCAUCAUUAAGUUGGGGACUCUAGUGAGACUGCCUACGCAAGUAGAGAGGAAGGUGGGGAUGACGUCAAAUCAUCACGGCCCUUACGCCUUGGGCCACACACGUAAUACAAUGGCCGGUACAGAGGGCAGCUACACUGCGAAGUGAUGCAAAUCUCGAAAGCCGGUCUCAGUUCGGAUUGGAGUCUGCAACUCGACUCUAUGAAGCUGGAAUCGCUAGUAAUCGCGCAUCAGCACGA